UUUGAUUUUGUUAUGAUAUUUCGUCAGGAAUAUGCAGAAUUUAGCAAUUUUCAAUACCUUUAUACUAUUAACAACAAAUCACAUUGUUGAAUGUUGUAGAAACAGUAAAAAUGGAAAAUGUUGUUUCAAUCACUACGAGAAUAUGAAUGGUCGGUGUUUGGAAUGUCCUAUAGGCACAAUUGGCACAAACUGCAGUGGAACAUGUCCUUCAGGAUACUUUGGAAAGCUUUGCAAAGACAAAUGUAAUUGUGCGGAUAUAUACUGUAAUAAUAUCAAAGGAUGUCUGAUAC